rnacentral:rRNA from 1 species
GAUGAACGCUGGCGGCGUGCCUAAUACAUGCAAGUCGAGCGAACGGACGAGAAGCUUGCUUCUCUGAUGUUAGCGGCGGACGGGUGAGUAACACGUGGAUAACCUACCUAUAAGACUGGGAUAACUUCGGGAAACCGGAGCUAAUACCGGAUGAUAUUUUGAACCGCAUGGUUCAAAGGUGAAAGACGGUCUUGCUGUCGCUUAUAGAUGGAUCCGCGCUGCAUUAGCUAGUUGGUAAGGUAACGGCUUACCAAGGCAACGAUGCAUAGCCGACCUGAGAGGGUGAUCGGCCACACUGGAACUGAGACACGGUCCAGACUCCUACGGGAGGCAGCAGUAGGGAAUCUUCCGCAAUGGGCGAAAGCCUGACGGAGCAACGCCGCGUGAGUGAUGAAGGUCUUCGGAUCGUAAAACUCUGUUAUUAGGGAAGAACAUAUGUGUAAGUAACUGUGCACAUCUUGACGGUACCUAAUCAGAAAGCCACGGCUAACUACGUG